rnacentral:rRNA from 1 species
AAGACCUUGCACUUUUGGAGCGGCCGAUGUCUGACUAGCUAGUUGGUGGAGUAAUGGCCUACCAAAGCUUCGAUCAGUAGCUGGUCUGAGAGGACAGCCAGCCACACUGGGACUGAGACACGGCCCAGACUCCUACGGGAGGCAGCAGUGGGGAAUUUUGGACAAUGGGCGCAAGCCUGAUCCAGCCAUGCCGCGUGAGUGAAGAAGGCCUUCGGGUUGUAAAGCUCUUUCAGUCGGGAAGAAAAGGUUGCGACUAAUAAUCGCAAUUCAUGACGGUACCGGAAGAAGAAGCACCGGCUAACUACGUGCCAGCAGCCGCGGUAAUACGUAGGGUGCGAGCGUUAAUCGGAAUUACUGGGCGUAAAGGGUGCGCAGGCGGUUUUGUAAGUCAGAUGUGAAAUCCCCGGGCUUAACCUGGGAACU